rnacentral:rRNA from 1 species
GACGAACGCUGGCGGCGUGCUUAACACAUGCAAGUCGAACGGUGAAGCGCCUUCCUUUUUGGUGGGUGUGGAUGAGUGGCGAACGGGUGAGUAACACGUGAGUAACCUGCCCCCUUCUUCUGGAUAACCGCAUGAAAGUGUGGCUAAUACGGGAUAUUCUGGGUCUGUCGCAUGAUGGGUCUGGGAAAGAUAUUGUUUCGGUGGGGGAUGGGCUCGCGGCCUAUCAGCUUGUUGGUGGGGUGAUGGCCUACCAAGGCGGUGACGGGUAGCCGGCCUGAGAGGGUGGACGGUCACACUGGGGCUGAGGCACCGCCCAGACUCCUACGAGAGGCAGCAGUGGGGAAUAUUGCACAAUGGGCGCAAGCCUGAUGCAGCGGCGCCGCGUGAGGGAUGGAGGCCUGCGGGUUGUGAACCUCUUUCGCCAGUGAAGCAGGCCUGCCUCGUUUGUGGGUGGGUUGACGGUAGCUGGAUAAGAAGCGCCGGCUAACUACGUG